rnacentral:misc_RNA from 1 species
UAACCGUAGGUGAACCUGCGGAAGGAUCAUUACAAAUCGUGGGUAGGUGGGUGUUGUUGUUUCGGCAACGCACAUCACCUCCCUUAUAUGUUCGGGGCAGCAAUGCUUCGUGACAUUUACGCUUGUAUGUUUGACAGAGUUAGAUGUGACUUAAUAAAGACAACUUUUAACAAUGGAUCUCUUGGCUCUU